UACGUAGGUGGCAAGCGUUUGUCCGGAAUUAUUGGGCGUAAAGCGCGCGCAGGCGGUCCUUUAAGUCUGAUGUGAAAGCCCCACGGCUCAACCGUGGAAGGUCAUUGGAAACUGGGGGGACUUGAGUGCAGAAGAGGAAAAGUGGAAUUCCAAGUGUAGCGGUGAAAUGCGUAGAGAUUUUGGAAGGAACACCAGUGGCGAAGGC
rnacentral:rRNA from 1 species